rnacentral:rRNA from 1 species
GAAAGAUGGCUUUAGCUAUCACUCUGGGAUGGACCUGCGGUGCAUUAGCUAGUUGGUAAGGUAACGGCUUACCAAGGCGAUGAUGCAUAGCCGAGUUGAGAGACUGAUCGGCCACAAUGGAACUGAGACACGGUCCAUACUCCUACGGGAGGCAGCAGUAGGGAAUCUUCCACAAUGGGCGCAAGCCUGAUGGAGCAACACCGCGUGAGUGAAGAAGGGUUUCGGCUCGUAAAGCUCUGUUGUUGGAGAAGAACGUGCGUGAGAGUAACUGUUCGCGCAGUGACGGUAUCCAACCAGAAAGUCACGGCUAACUACGUGCCAGCAGCCGCGGUAAUACGUAGGUGGCAAGCGUUAUCCGGAUUUAUUGGGCGUAAAGCGAGCGCAGGCGGUUGCUUAGGUCUGAUGUGAAAGCCUUCGGCUUAACCGAAGAAGUGCAUCGGAAACCGGGCAACUUGAGUGCAGAAGAGGACAGUGGAACUCCAUGUGUAGCGGUGGAAUGCGUAGAUAUAUGGAAGAACACCGGUGGCGAAGGCGGCUGUCUGGUCUGCAACUGACGCUGAGGCUCGAAAGCAUGGGUAGCGAACAGGAUUAGAUACCCUGGUAGUCCAUGCCGUA